rnacentral:rRNA from 1 species
UAAGUAUCAUUAAGUGAAUACAUAGCUUAAUGAGGGGAACUCAGGGAACUGAAACAUCUAAGUACCUGAAGGAAGAGAAAGAAAUUCGAUUCCGUAAGUAGCGGCGAGCGAACGCGGAUUAGCCCAAACCAAUAAAGUUUUCUUUAUUGGGGUUGAGGACAUACCACAUAUAAGAGGUCAUUAUAGACGAAGAAGUUUGGAAAAACUCAUCAUAGAAGGUAAUAAUCCUGUAGUCAAAAUAAUAAUUCUUUAGG